rnacentral:rRNA from 1 species
GUAGGUGGCAAGCGUCGUCCGGAAUUAUUGGGCGUAAAGCGCGCGCAGGCGGUCCUUUAAGUCUGAUGUGAAAGCCCGCGGCUCAACCGUGGAGGGUCAUUGGUAACUGGGGGACUUGAGUACAGAAGAGGAAAGCGGAAUUCCAAGUGUAGCGGUGAAAUGCGUAGAGAUUUGGAGGAACACCAGUGGCGAAGGCGGCUUUCUGGUCUGUAACUGACGCUGAGGCGCGAAAGCGUGGGGAGCAAACAGGAUUAGAUACCCUGGUAGUCCACGCCGUAAACGAUGAGUGCUAAGUGUUAGGGGGUUUCCCGCCCCCUUAGUGCUGCAGCUAACGCAUUAAGCACUCCGCCUGGGGAGUACGGCCGCAAGGCUG